AAAUUUGGGUGAAGUGCCUUGCUCAAGGGCACGUCGGCAGAUUUUUCACCUCGUCUGCUGGGGUAUUGGAACCAGUGAUCUUUCAGUUACUGGCCAAACACUCUAACAGCUAGGAUAUCUGCCACCCUAGAGAGAGUCAGAGAGGUGAGGGAGAGAGGUGAGGGAGCGAGGUGAGGGAGAGAGGUAGGGGGGGAGAGAGGUAGAGAGGGAGAGAGGUGGGGGGGGACUAGAAGCAACACCCAGGCUACGUCCUCGUGUUAUAACACGACACCCAGGCUACGUCCUCGUGUUAUAACACGACACCCAGGCUACGUCCUCGUGUUAUAACACGACAGAUUCAUUCAUGAAUGUCUUAAUGCUUUUGUGUGUCAUUCAUUCUCCAUUCUCGCUAAACACUGGAUUCUCUGACUGAGUGAGAACCGUGUGUGUGUGUGUGUCAGCCCUCUGCUCAGUGACAGAAUGAAGUGGAGACCCCUGAUGAAUAAUGAUCAGUUCAGUUUUAUAACAGAGAGAGGAAAGAUCUGGAGACUGGCUUCUCUUUAACAUGGAGAGGUGAGAGAGGAAAGAUCUGGAGACUGGCUUCUCUGUUAACAUGGAGCGGUGAGAGAGGAAAUAUCUGGAGACUGGCUUCUCUUUAAUAUGGAGAGGUGAGAGAGGAAAUAUCUGGAGACUGGCUUCUCUGUUAACAUGGAGAGGAAAGAUCUGGAGACUGGCUUCUCUGUUAACAUGGAGAGGUGAGAGAGGAAAGAUCUGGAGACUGGCUUCUCUUUAACAUGGAGAGGUGAGAGAGGAAAGAUCUGGAGACUGGCUUCUCUGUUAACAUGGAGCGGUGAGAGAGGAAAGAUCUGGAGACUGGCUUCUCUUUAACAUGGAGAGGUGAGAGAGGAAAGAUCUGGAGACUGGCUUCUCUUUAACAUGGAGAGGUGAGAGAGGAAAGAUCUGGAGACUGGCUUCUCUUUAACAUGGAGAGGAAAGAUCUGGAGACUGGCUUCUCUGUUAACAUGGAGAGGUGAGAGAGGAAAGAUCUGGAGACUGGCUUCUCUGUUAACAUGGAGAGGAAAGAUCUGGAGACUGGCUUCUCUGUUAAACCUGUUAGGGCUAGGGGGCAGUAUUGACACGGCUGGAUAAAAAACAUACCCGAUUUAAUCUGGUUACCACUCCUACCCAGUAACUAGAAUAUGCAUAUACUUAUUACAUAUGGAUAGAAAACACCCUAAAUUUUCUAAAACUGUUUGAAUGGUGUCUGUGAGUAUAACAGAACUCAAAUGGCAGGUCAAAACCUGAGAGAUUCCUUUACAGGAAGUGGCCUGUCUGACCAUUUCUUGAACUUCUUUUCCAUCUCUAUCAUUUACUAAGGAUCUCUGCUCUAACGUGACACUUCCCACGUCGUCCAUAGGCGCUCAGAGCCCGGGGAAAAACAGAAUGUCGUCAUUCCAGCCCCAGGCUGAAACACAUUAUCGCCUUUCUCAAGUGGCC
rnacentral:lncRNA from 8 species